UACGAAGGGGGCUAGCGUUGUUCGGAAUUACUGGGCGUAAAGCGCACGUAGGCGGACAUUUAAGUCAGGGGUGAAAUCCCAGAGCUCAACUCUGGAACUGCCUUUGAUACUGGGUGUCUUGAGUAUGGAAGAGGUGAGUGGAAUUCCGAGUGUAGAGGUGAAAUUCGUAGAUAUUCGGAAGAACACCAGUGGCGAAGGCGACUCGCUGGACAAGUAUUGACGCUGAGGUGCGAAAGCAUGGGGAGCGAACAGG
rnacentral:rRNA from 1 species